GACGAACGCUGGCGGCGUGCUUAACACAUGCAAGUCGAACGGAAAGGCCCUGCUUGUGUGGGGUGCUCGAGUGGCGAACGGGUGAGUAACACGUGAGUAACCUGCCCUUGACUUUGGGAUAACUUCAGGAAACUGGGGCUAAGACCGGAUAGCAGCUCCUGCUGCAUAGUGGGGGGUGGAAAGUUUCGGCGGGUUGGGAUGGACUCGCGGCUUAUCAGCUUGUUGGUGGGGUAGUGGCUUACCAGGGCUUUGACGGGUAGCCGGCCUGAGAGGGUGACCGGCCACAUUGGGACUGAGAUACGGCCCAGACUCCUACGGGAGGCAGCAGUGGGGAAUAUUGCACAAUGGGCGGAAGCCUGAUGCAGCAACGCCGCGUGCGGGAUGACGGGCUUCGGGUUGUAAACCGCUUUUGCCUGUGACGAAGCGUGAGUGACGGUAACGGGUAAAGAAGCACCGGCUAACUACGUG
rnacentral:rRNA from 1 species